rnacentral:rRNA from 1 species
UACGGAGGGUGCGAGCGUUGUCCGGAAUCACUGGGCGUAAAGGGCGCGUAGGUGGCCGAGCAAGGUCGCGGUGAAAGCCCGGGGCUCAACCCCGGGUCGGCCGUGGCAACUACUCGGCUCGAGCACUGUAGGGGCGGGUGGAAUUUCGGGUGUAGCGGUGGAAUGCGUAGAGAUCCGGAAGAACACCGGUGGCGAAGGCGGCCCGCUGGGCAGGAAGGCUCGCAAGAGCCGGCUGACACUGAGGCGCGACAGCGUGGGGAGCAAACAGG